CUCAGCCAACCCAGAAGAUGUGGCACAUGGCCAGAGUUGGGAGGACAAAGAGAGAAGAGACAGGGUCUCACUGCAUGCCUGUAGUGCCAGCUACUCAGGAGACUGAGGUGGGAGGAUCUCUUGAGCCCAGGAGGUCGAGGUGGCAGUGGCCCAUGAUUGCAUCACUGUACUCAGUCUGUCUGCACUACCAUUGUGAGCUGUUAACACUCACUGUGAAGGUCUGCAAAGGUCUGCGGCUUCACUCCUGAAGUCAGCAAGACCACAAACCCACCAGAAAGAAGAAAUUCCAGACACAUCUGAACAUCUGAAGGAACAAACUCCGGACACACCAUCUUUAAGAACUGUAACACUCACCACGAGGGUCUGUGGCUUCAUUCUUGAAGUCAGCGAGACCGAGAACCCAUGGGAAGGAACCAAUUCUGGACGCACUGGGUUCACGCCAUUCUCCUGCCUCAGCCUCCAAAGUAGCUGGGACUACAGGUGCCCGCCCACCAUGCCCGGGUAAUUUUUUGUAUUUUUAGUACAGACGGGGUUUCACCGUGUUAGCCAGGAUGGUCUCGAUCUCCUGACCUCGUGAUCCACCCGCCUUGGCUUCCCAAAGUGCUGGGAUUACAGGUGUGAGCCACCGCGCCUGGCCUUUUUUUAAGUCUUAAUAUGGGAUUUCCAUAAAACUUAAUCCGUACUCCACAAUGCAACUUUUUAUAAUCAAUAAAAUUGGCAGGUUUGUUUGCUUCCUAACAAUUUAGAAGGACUUUCAGAAAAUUUGGCUGGUCAAAACCUAUUUUUACAUCUAGCCAAAUGGUUAUCUCUAGAUGAAGGGAUUUGGGUUCAUUUAUAUUUUCUUUUUCUUUUUCUUUUUUUUUUUUGAGAUGGAGUCUUGCUCUGUCACCCAGUCUGGAGUGCAGUGGCGCGAUCUCGGCUCACUGCAGGCUCUGCCUCCUGGGUUCACGCCAUUCUCCUGUCUCAGCCUCCCCAGCAGCUGGGACAACAGGCGCACGCCGCCACGCCCGGCUAAUUUUGUUGUUGUUGUUGUUGUUGUAUUUUUAGUAGAGACGGGGUUUCACCGUGUUAGCCAGGAUGGUCUCAACCUCCUGACCUCGUGAUCUGCCCGCCUCCACCUCCCAAAGUGCUGGGAUUACAGGCGUGAGCCACCAUGCCUGGCCAUUUAUAUUUUCUUUUUUCUUUGCGUUUAAUUCAGCAAUGCACCAGAAGGACUGACGAGACUCACUGGUUGGCCAGGCGUGGUGACUCAUAUCUGAAAUCCCAGUACUUCAGGAAGCCAAGGAGGGUGGAUUCUUUGAGCCCAGAAAUUCGAGACCAGGCUGGGCAACAUGGCAAAACCCUGUCUCUACAAAAAAUUAGGUGUGGUGCCACACACCUGUGGUCCCAGCUACUCGGGAGGCUGAGGUAAUAGGCUCACUAGAACCUGGGAGGUUAAGGCUGCAGUGAGCCAAGAUCCUGCCACUGUACUCCAGCCUGAGUGGCAGAGCAAGACCCUAU
rnacentral:lncRNA from 1 species